AGAGAAGAGAUUGCUGGGCUGAAGGAUCGACAGAAGGCGGAGGCGGUAGGGGUGUUGGUGUAACUACACAUGCGCGCUCGGCUUCUGGCAGUCUUCAGGGUUGCUUUCUUCUGGAGGUUACGGGAAGGAAGGGUGAGCGUGCGCAUGCGUGGGCCCCCUCCCCAACCUAGGACCUGGUUACCUAGGAGACGGCGAGGCGUGCUCUCUCUCCAGGCUUUGGUUGUGUUUCCUCUUUGCUCCGGGCCGUAGCGGCUGAGGCAGCGUUACCACAGUGAGCUUGUAUUUUAUUUAUAAUAAAGAAAAUAUUUCCACGCUUAAAAAAAGUUUGCAAAAUAAAAGAUAUGCCCCUACCUGGGCACCCCACCCCAAUAAGUGGUCUACAACAGGCAGGUGUGGUAAGUGGCUCUAAUGGUACGGGUAAGCAGGCCCCAUUCAAGGCUGUCUGGGGAAGUAAGGAUCACCCAAUCUCUGGAAGUGUUGGAGCAAAGACCUGCUCAGGACCACUUUGCAGACAGUGGUUCAUAGCUUGAAGUCUGUUUCUGGAGAUCUGCAUCCAACAGACAUCUUGGUUGUCAGGGGAUACGGAAGACCAUUUAGGCAGAAAACUUAACCAUCUAGAGGCCUCACCCACUCACUCAGGCUAUAGAUAAGUUUUGUUUGGCUGGCCCAAUGUUUUUUUUCAAUUGAAUUUGAAUGCCUUCGAGCAGAGCCUGCAGUUCCUCACAGCCCCAGCCCCCGUUGUCUUACACCCAACCACUUAACCUAUGUCAUUUGCCUGGCCACUAAAGUGUUUGCGGUCAUGGUCCAGAUAGAGCCCAUACUUUGGAGCUGGACAGUCUCUGUUGCAUAAACUGGCUCUGCUACUGACUGACGUGGGAAAUGAUGGGUAAGAAAGAAGCUGGGGGCCCUUAAAGCUGCUUCCAACCACAGGGUUUUCAUUUCUGUGACUCAGGGAGAGGUAGAGCUUGGCCAGAUGGUGGGUUACAGGUCAGUAUCAGCAAGCCUGGAUGCAGGGCUUGCCUCUUCCACCACCUGUUUGCCUCUGGGCACACCGCUUCUCAGGAAAGAUGUGGGCACAGGGCCAGAGUCUGCAGACAUUCCCUGGCCUGCCUUUGCCUUCUCCCUCUUUCACCAUUCCUUCUUUACGACACCCAGUGCCCAUGUACUUUACCCAGCUUCCCUCGACACUUCUCUCGGUCCCCGCGACGACCCACCCACCCUAUCAAUAUUAUCUGUCUUUAAAUCUAUCCACUAACACUAAUGUGUAUUACUGGGAGAGAGUGAACCUGUUGACCCAAAGUUGCAACUCCCAAGAAGGAAUUUCACAUCAGGUUGCAGGAGAGGAACAAACCUCUACAGACUAGUGAGGACAAGAUUUGGGACUCCUGGUUUCAGCUACUUUCCCCAGGCCUUUCCAAGCCCAACUGUGUGUGAGGUGAGGUAAGAAACAACAUGAUACUCACUGCAAGUGAGCACUGAGCACUUCUGAGCCUUGAAAUGCUGGCAUCUUCUGGAAGGAGAGCUUCAGGGUAAAAUUAGUUCCUUCCAACCCAGGUAGUUGAGUCACGACAACCUGGGAAGGCUUCUAGCCCUGAGUCAGUUGUGCAGCCUCAGCUCUGCUUUAAAUAAAAUAAGUUGGUAUUUAUGGGAUGACUCACACCUGGAGCAGUGAGCUGGGUUCUCAGCACUCAAGGAUUUCCGCAUCCCACUCCCAUGGUUCAAGUCCGGCAAUGGAAGGGCAAGACUAUGCUCUUCCACAAAGAAUAGUAGCUUCUGUUUUUUGAGAGCUUAUAAAAAAUAAACCAGAUGUUUCUAAGUGCUUUGUAUGCAUAAUAACCUCGCUAAAUAUUCACUCCUGUCUAGGGUUUCCCAACCUGGCACCACUGACAUUUUGGAUUGGAUAGUUCUUUGUUGUGGGGAGGCUAUCAUAUAUAUUAUACGAUGUUUAAGAGCAUUCCUGCCCUCUGCCCACUUGAUGCCAGUAACACCACCCUCCUACACCCAGUUGUGACAAGAAAAAAAAUGUCUUCAGACAUUGACAGGUGUCCCAAAGGGAGCAAAAGUGCCCCCAGUUGAGAACCUUUGCAGUCUAACCUCACAGAAUAAUAACUAUUAUUAUCAUCCCCACUUCACAGAUGAGGAAACUGAGGCUCAGAGAAAAGUGACUUGCCCAAGGUCACUUCACUGUAAUAGAAGAUCUGGGAUUUAAACCAGGUGUGACCCAGAGCCCCUGCUCUCCUGCAUGCAGGACUCUGCAAAGAGACUGUGGGCUUCAAGGAGCAAAUUGCCCAAUCACUUCUGUAGAAGAGUGAUGAAGAGUGAGUGAAUUCUGUGCAUCAGUGAGAGAAUGCCAUUCUUGGAUCAUUUGUCCUUUUCUGUUUGCUUUGGAAGAAAGGCAAUUAUAUUCUGGUUUUUAUUGCCUUGGUCAGCGCAGUUCAUGGUGUCCAGCAAUGUCUAGUGGGAAAGUAGCUAGUGAAUCAUCUCUGUGUCCGUGGGUCUUAGGCCCCACUUUCCUGGGAGAUCCUGAAGUUAUGCUUGAAAAGAACUCGGAUGUGAGGCUGAGAUCAGAGAGGACUGGGGGGUGGGAAUGGAUGUUCCUGAAGGAGAAGCAGCUUUCUUUCUCCAUCAGGGACCUGGCCGAGGCUGCAGCUGUAGUGCUGUUGCUGCCCUCCCGGGCUUGGACCUGCCCCGUUGCUGCCACCCAGUCCAGAGGUAUUGGUGGGACUAGGGAGGCAGGAGAGAGAAUGGGUUCAGGCAGUGGUGUGCUGGGGCUCUCUUCCUAUCCUGCCACCAGGAACUCCUGUUGCUUGAAAUCAGACGUGUUGGGAGUAUUUACACCAUAGAAAUUAGCAAACAAUAUAAACCAGGCCUACCUACCCGCCAGCUGGUUGUUCAGCAUUUACCAGCGCACCAUUGCAUGCAGAUUCUGGAUCCUGAUUGACUCUCACUAAUUCUGCUUAACAGGGGGAGAUGGAAGGGGGCAUGGCGAGCCCCAGAGCUAUGGGACAAGAGGAGGAGUCCCGGUGACGUGGCUGAGGAGAGACGUGUUCAUCUCCACAAAGGACGGAGCUGCCUGGGUGGGGGUCUCUGGAACACUGGGCAAAAUUGACCUUACCAAGAGGUCAUCUCCUGGGCGUACCUGAGACCCCUCCUGACCUUGGAGCCUUCUUAGGCUUCUUAGGGAGCCCUGGGUUAAGGCUUGACUCAAAUUCUUCUCACUUCCUGAUGGGUUAUCCCCUGCUAGCUCACCUCCCUGCCUCCAGUCUCCUCUCAACGUCAUUCUCAACCCUUCUGGUGGAUUUAAUCCUCCUAAGAGACCACUUAGGUCAUGUGUUCUAGCCCCAGUGUCUCCACAUCUCUUGCCUUUCAAUUCCUCACCUUUACCUUUUUCUUCUCAACCUCCAAAUGUUAUCGAGUCUCCCCAGCCAAAAAACAGACCGGUAAAGAAAAAAAAACCCUUCCCCUGUCUCGACUUUCCCCUCUCAACUCCCAAACUUCUUGGUACUCCUGGUGUCUGCUUCAUCUCCCACUUGUGUGUAACCCCGGCGGUCUGUUUUUUGCCCACUAUCCCUUCUCUCCAUGGAUACCCCACUAACCGCCUCUGAGUCAGAUGACCUUGUCUUAGCUCCCAUAUGCAGCCAGCUACAGAUGUGAUGCUCCGGGCACCUACUGUGUCAGGCCCUGGGGAGGGAGUGCGGGACCUCCAGACCAGUCCCUGCCCUGCCCUUAGGGAACACCCUUCCCAAGGGUGGACAGACCUUGAAAGGUGACUACAGAUGAGGACCGAAAUCAUUUCAGGUGAUGAGGAUGUUGAGAGGAUGGACAGAGUGUACUGUAUCAUGCAGGGCCCAACCAGGGAAACAGAACUCAUUCCGAGUUUUUAAACAUGGAAUUUCACACAAGGAAUUGGUUACACAGAGGUUGAAAGAGCUGAGAAACCCAGGAGGAGAUGGCAAGGUAACCAGGAAUCCACUAUUAGUCCUGGGUUGGGGGGAAAACAGUGUAAUCAGUGGCGGGGGGCCAGGGUCACUUGGAAGAAGUUGGAACCACAGAGAAGAUACAAUCCACUUCCAUAGAUACCACUCAGGACUGAGCGGGAUGAAGAUUCUCCUCUCCUUCCACGUUCCACCCUCUGGUCUCCUGCCAGAGCCUCUCAUUGGUCCGGAGCCUGCAGGGGUCAGUCACCUGCAGUGCAGAGCAGAGAAGGUGAGGACCAGAUGGGAGGGCAACAGCCCAGGACCACCACCAGGAUGGGAUGGGAGAGGAUGAGGGGGCGACUGACUUAGUGGAGGGGGCUCAGAGAAGGCUUCCCUGAGGAACUAAGCUGAGACCUGCAAGGUGAAGGGGAAUUGGAGGAGAAAACGUUCCGAGCAAUAACUGACAUUUUAAAAAGACUAAUUUUUUUAGAGCAUGAGGUUCCCAGCAAAAUUGAGCAGAAGGUGCAGAGAUUUGCUAUCUACCCCCUGCCCCCGCACACGCACAGCCUUCCCACUAUCAGCAUCACACACCAGAGUGGUACCUUUGUUACAGUCGAUGAACCUACAUUGACACGUUGUAAUCACCCAAAGUCCACAGUUUAUAUUACGGUUCACUUUUGCUGUUGUAUGGUCUAUAAUACAGUCUAUGGGUUUGGACAAGUGUAUGAUGACAUGUAUUCAUUAUUAUAAUACCAUACAGAGUAUUUUCACUGCCCUAAAAAUCCUCUGUGCUCUGCAUGUUCAUUCCUCCCUCCUCCCACCCCACCACCCCAAACCCUGGCAGCCACUGAUAUUUUUACUAUCUCCAUAGUAAUAAAUAAAUAAAUUGUGAUACAUCCAACCAAUGAAAUACUAUUCAGCGCUAAAACGGAAUGAGCUAUCCAACGUGAAAUGACUUAAAUGCAUAUUACUUAAAAGACUUCUAUGCGUAUUACUAAGGGAAAGAGGACAAUAUGAAAAGAUUCCAUAUUGUAUGAUUCCAACUAUAUGACAUUCUGGAAAAGGCAAAAGUAUGGAGACAGUAAGAAGGUCAGUGGUAUUUUUUUGCCCAUUCUCUUCCUGAGGCUUCACGGAUACUGUACUUUCUGUCUCUGUGUCUUUCUCCAGUUCUUUUUUUUUGUUUUUUCGGCCGUGCUGCGCGGCUUGUGGGAUCUUAGUUCCCUGGCAUUCCCUCUUUCUCCCAUUCUUAAAGACUGAGGCACACCCCAAGUUUCAGUCCCAAGCCCCCCACUUCUCUGCACUUUCUCCUUUGGAGUUCUCAUCCACUCCUAACUUCACUUAAUCAUUCCACAAACAUUAAUUGAGCACCUGGUGUGUGCCAGACACUUGAGUUGGCCCCUGGUGACAGUGAGAGAUGAAUGAGUCAUGAGGCCCGCCCUCCAAGAGGAGAUGGACAAUGUGGCAAUACAAUGUGGACGGUAGUAGGAAGUCCUGGGUGAGGUAAGAACACAUAGAAGAGAUCAAAGAAGGCUUCCUGGAGGAGGUGACCCUUGAGCCGAUUGCUGCCAGGUACGCUAGCAGUGAGCCAGGUGAAUGAGGCGGGAAGAACAUUCAGGUGGAAGGAAUAACAUGUGCACAGGCAGACAAGGGGCCUGUCAAGGCACAUUGUGGACUUGGGUGUGGAAUGCAAGGGAUGCCGGGAGAGAGAGAGCCUCAGGCUGGCCCCGCAGGCUUUGAUCUGGAUUGCAGAGGGCCUUAUGUACUUAGUAGGCUGGGCUGGGGAAAAGACAACAUUUCUAGAACACAAUUUCAUUAAAAAAUUUUUUUUCUUUUUUCAUCUUUAUUGGAGUAUAAUUGCUUUACAAUGAUAUGUUAGUUUCUGCUGUACAACAAAGUGAAUCAGCUAUGUGUAUACAUAUAUCCCCAUAUCCCCUUCCUCUUGAGCCUGCCUCCCACCCUCCCUAUCCCACCCCUCUAGGUGGUCACAGAGCACCGAGCUGAUCUCCCUGUGCAAUGCAGCAGCUUCCCACUAGCCAUCCAUUUUACACUUGGUAGUGUAAAUGUGUUGUUGCUACUCUCUCACUUCGUCCUAGCUUCCCUUCCCCCCCCCCGCCCCCACCCCCCCCACCCCGUGUCCUCAAGUCCGUAGAGCACAUUUUUAGAGACGCUUCUCUGUCUGCAGUGUGAAAGGGUCGGGGUGGUGGUGGAGCACGUUACAAACUAGGAGGCUAGUCGGGGGGCUUUGUAGUAAACCAGGUGAGAGACAGUGGGGGCUGGACUCGGGCAGUGCAAGGGGAUGGGGAGCCAGGACAGUCUAGCAGAAUAUGGAGAGAUUCAGAAUUGAGAAAAGAAGUCAGCUGGUAGGGUGUGGACCAAGGGUGGGAGCGGUGAGUCUGGGCUGAUACUGCUGAGGUCAGGACCCAUAGGAGGAGACAGGUUCUGGGAAGAAGAGGAGUAUCGGCUUUGGACAUAUUGUAGCUGAGGUACAUCUGGUCCCAUCAAUUGUCCUUCUUGACUGUUCACUUCCAAAUUAACACCUUCAGCUCUGACCUCGAUCCUGAGCUCCAGACCGGAAUUUCCAGGGGCCCGUAGAGCAUUUCCACCUUCUAGCCAGUCGCCUGUCAUCUCUACCUCUACGUAGUCCCCCAAACCUGUGCCUCGCCCAUCUCCUUCUGUUAGUGACGUCACCACCGUCCCCGGGAGUGUCAUCGCCUUCUCUCGCCGACUCACCCCGAGCCACACGGAUUCUGCCUGCAUAACGCCCUUUGAGUCUGUGGCCUCUCUUUGGCUCCUCUUUCUGCCAGUGCCCCUGUGAUGUCCCACCGUUUCCUCUUGCUUCUGUCAUUUCCAUUCCGAUCCUUCCUACUGUCUGUCUGACACUCCCUUGCUCAAAAUUUUCAGUGCCUGCCCAUUGCCUACUGGUAAAGUACAUGCUUGUUCUCUGGCUCUCAAGGUCCUCACAGUCCAGCCCCCACUUACCUUUUUGGCUCUUAAUUUUCACAACUUCCUGGCAGACACCCUUACCAUCGCCCCAAACCACGCCACGUCUUGUGCGUCCAGACCACAGGCCGUCCUGCAGACUGCAAUGCGUCUUCUCCUGCCUCUGCCUGUCAAAUCACACCCAUCCCUCAAGGCCCCGAUGAAAUGCUUCCUCUCCACACACCAUAUUUCCCAGGUAAUUGUCUGCCUCAUCUCUCUUAACAGACAGCACCUUAAGGGCAGCUUUUCAUCACCGUAUGAGGAGUUGGUAUUCACUAAAUGUGUGUUGAACUGAAUUGGCUCAAAAAACAUUCCUCAGAUCAAGAACCUGUUGUGGUUCCUCAUAUUGUCCACCACUUCAAACCUGUUCCUAGUGGCUUCCCAGGCUCCGUCUUAGGUAUCUAACCUUAUUCCCCCACGGUUCCCCCAAAUAUGUCCCUUGUUCAAUUUCAACUCUAUGCUAGAAGUGUGAAAGAUAGAAAAAUGAAUAAAAUACACCUUCCCUGCCUUCCCUUCCCAUAUCUACCAGGGUGGAUAAACUAUGCCUACUAAUAACUACUAUCAGUUUAAAAUAACAUCUUUCACUCCUGAGUUAUCCUGCCUCUCCUUCUUUAAGAUUGAAAUUCUAAUUUUGUUCGUAUUGGUGACCUGCUCCUUUUUAAAUGCUUCCUGGACUCCCUUGAAGCUAGGAUGGCCAUGUGACAAAAUUCUGGCCAGUGAGAUGUACGUGGAAGUCUCUGGGUGGGGCUUCUGGGAAAACUUCCUAAAGGGGACCAACCCCGCUGGCACACACCCUUUGUCUUUUGUCCUUUGUCUUAUUAUCCUUCUUUAGUCUAGAAUGUAGACCCACUGCCAGGAGGUAUAGCAGCCAGUAUUUGAGCAUAAGCAUGGAAACUUCAUCCUCUGAUGGCAGAGCAGAAAGCUAGAUGGGCUUUGAGUCCCUGACGGUUCCUUCAGUAGUUGCGGCACGUGGACUCAGUAGCUGCGGCUAGAGGGCUCUAGAGCGCAGGCUCAGUAGUUGUGGCUCGUGGGCUUAGUUGCUCCUCGCCAUGUGGGAUUUUCCUGGACCAGGGCUUGAACCCGUGUCCCCUGCAUUGGCAGGCAGAUUCUUAACCACUGUGCCACUGGGGAAGUCCUCCAGUUCAUUUUUCAAACCUCCAGUCCUCCAGGUUUGUCUAUUCCUUGAAUAGUGGAUGUGUGCACUUUGUACAAAUUUCAAAAGAGUGUGCUUCUCCCACCUCUGGCCCCAGGUUUCCCUCUUUUGAAGCAACCAUUCAAAAAUAUAGUUUCUUGUGUAUUUUUCCAGACGUGUUUCAUGCAUCUACAAACACAUAAAUUCAGGUAGCCUCUUUUUUAAAAAGUAACGCAAGUGGACUUCCCUGGUGGUGCAGUGGUUAAGAAUCCGCCUGCCAAUGCAGGGGACACGGGUUUGAGCCCUUGUCCGGGAAGAUCCAGCUAAGACGCAGCUAAGCCCGUGCAUCACAACUACUGAGCCUGAGCUUUAGAGCCCGCGAGCCACAACCAAUGAGCCUGCGUGCUAGAACUACUGAAGCCCACGUGCCUAGAGCCCGUGCUCCGCAACAAGAGAAGCCACCGCAAUGAGAAGCCUGCCCGCCGCAACAAAGAGUGGCCCCCGCUUGCUGCAACUAGAGAAAACCCGUGCGCAUCAACAAAGACCCAACACAGCCAAAAAUAAAUAAAUUUAUAUAUAUAAAAAAAAAGUAAUGGAAGCAUGCUAUACACAACAGCUCUGUACUUUAUUUCACUUUACAUAUCAGUGAGUUCCACAUCGUACAUGCUUCAUUCUACCCCAUUGUAUGUCUGGUAUGUAAUUUACCUGGUCCCCUAUUGAUGGAGUUACCUGUUUCCAACCCAUUUCCUACUAUAAGAAUUGUUGCAGUAAAUAUCUUUGUACCUAUUUCAUUUUGCAUAUUAAUUCAUCCAUGCAUUCCACAAAUGUUAUUGAGCACUUGCUAUGCACCAGGCCAGCUCUAGGCACGGUGUGUGUGUGUGCGUAUGUGUGUGUGUGUGUGUGCAGAGUAGUGAGCACAACAGGCCCAGUCCUUGCAUCAUGGAGCUGACAAUCUAUAGUGGAGAAAGCUACAGGAUAGAUUCCUAGAAGUGGGUCACACUUUCUUUCAAUCCUUCUAAUGAUGUCAGGAAGAAUCUCACUUGGGUAAGAAAGUCUCACUAGUGCCAAAAUGUCUUUAAUAUUAUCUUUCUCUAAUACUUGCUAAUCUCUUCAAGACAGAGUGUUGGUCUCCGAUUAGAGUCUUUGGCCAGAGCCUAGCUAGAGUUUCAUAACAAUGUUUGGUUUUUAUUGGAUAUAGCUUUACAUAGAUUUUCCAUCUACAAUCAAAAUAUGAAGGUUCCUUCCAAAAUAAUUUAAGUUAAAAAACAAGGUGAGUCAAUUUAGAGAAGAAUGCUGAGUAAAUAAUAACAUAGGUGGGAAUUCAGAGGUGGAAAAAACCCGCAAAACCCGCGAAGGUGUUAUUCAAAUGACUGAGGUGGGGAAAUCACUGAUGGAAACGAAGCAAGGAGAAAAGGUGAGGCUCUUUCUACUGUAUUUGGUGUUUAUUUUUGUAUCCUCACUCAUCUUUGGUGUUGAAAUGGACUUGCAUCCGUAUUUCUUCAUAGGCAGCUUAUUUGUUUAUCAUUUACUAUUUGCUUGGUAAUUCUUAUGCUUAAAUUGCACUGAGCUUCUGGUCAUGAAAGGGUUUUUUGGUUUUGUUUUGUUUUGUUUUUUGGUUAAACUGUUCCAAUUUGCAUUCUCUCACAAAAUCUCUUCCACUUGGGUUCCCCAGACGCCCUAGCCUCUAUUGCCGCCCCUGGAGAUAUUUGGAAACGCCUCUGCCAGGGGCGUUCAUGCAGCACCCUUAGUCAGAUUUUCUUAAUCUGGUUGAGGCUUGCUCAAUAAUGCUCUUCAAAUAUAAGAUGAUGAAACAACCAAACCCAAGUAGGCCUUUGAGGAGAUCUCAAAGCCAGAACCUUCUGAACAAUCCCCACAGCUUGUUAGCUAAAGACACAAUUCGCUGGGUUGUUGCCAAUGUAAACAAGAGUACCUUUCACAAAUGGGCUCUUUAUGCCCAGUAGGUGGUAGAAAGCCUCUGGCAGAGGUUGCUGGCUAUGGUCAGAGGGUGGAUGGUGCCUCAAGGCCCUGGAGCAGAGAAACUUUCUGGUGGGAGCUAAGAGGGGCCGCCGUCGAAUGGAGGGGUGAGGUUGCAGGUGAGAGCAAGGAGCAUCUGGGGACUUGGAAAAUGAAAAACAAAAAAUAAGGCCCUCCAUUAAUGACUAAAUCCUUGAACUUUGAAAUGUGGUGGAGAUUAAUUAUUGAAAAUUACUGAGGAACUACCUCAUACUAGGCAUUGAUUUAAGUAUUUUGUGAGUACUUAACUCAGUGGUUCUCAAACUUUUUUGGCUGCCUCAAAAAUUCUUGAAAACCCCCAAAGAGCUUUUAUUUCUGUGGAUUAUAUCUGGUGGUGUGAUGCUUAAUAACUGGUUCUCUGGGAGAAAAAUUCUGAUGUGUAACAUUUGCCAGUUCCCAUGGUGUAAAUACUUCCACUGUGACCCAUUUUAAGAUUCCCCCUGACAUAACUGAAUGUGAAAUGGGGAGAGAUGUGCACAAUCAACUCUCCCAAGCCAGGGCAAGCUGACUCCAGCACCCUGCUGGGAUGUUUAUCAAUAUCUAAGGUAUUAGAAAUUAAAAUUGAGAACAAGUUAAACUAUGCAUCCAUUAGAAAUACUAAUCACAAACCCAUUGCAUGUCAGUAUAAAUAACAUUUUUUGCAAAAAUAACUGUUAUUUUCCAAAAUAAAAAAUAUUUAGUGAAGAGGGUGACAUUUUUUUAAAAAAUAUUUUUACAAUUCCCUGUAACGUCUAGUUCAAUCAAAGAUAGUUUGAUUCACACAUCUUCUGCAUUCAAUCUGUUGUGAUGUCAUACAUCAUAUGGUCUCUGGAAAACACUGGAGAGCAAUGAAGGGGACACGAGUUCAAGCCCCGGUCCGGAAAGAUCCCACAUGCCACGGAACAACUAAGCCCAUGUGCCACAGCUACUGAAGCUCGUGCACCUAGAGCCCGUGCUCCGCAACAAGAGAAGCCACCGCAAUGAGAAGCCCGCACACUGCAAUGAAGAGUAGCCCCUGCUCGCUGCAAGUGGAGAAAGCCCACGUGCAGCAGCAAAGACCCAACGCAGCCAAAAAUAAAAUAAAUUAAUUAAAAAACAACAACAAGGUCCUACUGUAUAGCACAGGGAACUAUAUUCAAUAUCCUGUGAUAAGGCAUAAUGGAAAAGAAUAUGAAAAAGAAUAUAUAUAUAUUAUAUAUAAUAUAUAUAUAAUAUAUAUAACCGAGUCACCUGCAGUACAGCAAUAAUUAACACCACAUUGUAA